UACGUAGGGGGCAAGCGUUGUCCGGAUUUAUUGGGCGUAAAGAGCGUGUAGGCGGCCAGGUAGGUCGGUUGUGAAAACUGGAGGCUUAACCUCCAGACGUCGACCGAAACCAUCUGGCUAGAGUCCGGAAGAGGAGAGUGGAAUUCCUGGUGUAGCGGUGAAAUUCGUAGAUAUCUGGAGGAACACCAGUGGCGAAGGCGGCUUCCUGGCCUGCAACUGACGCUGAGACGCGAAAGCGUGGGGAGCGAACCGG
rnacentral:rRNA from 1 species